rnacentral:rRNA from 1 species
UACAGAGGGGGCAAGCGUUGUUCGGAAUUACUGGGCGUAAAGGGCGCGUAGGCGGCCUGCUAAGUCGAACGUGAAAUCCCUGGGCUCAACCCAGGAACUGCGUCCGAUACUGGUUGGCUUGAAUCCGGGAGAGGGACGUGGAAUUCCUGGUGUAGAGGUGAAAUUCGUAGAUAUCAGGAGGAACACCGGUGGCGAAGGCGGCUACCUGGACGGUGACUGACGCUGAGGUGCGAAAGCGUGGGGAGCAAACAGG